UACGUAGGUGGCAAGCGUUGUCCGGAAUUAUUGGGCGUAAAGCGCGCGCAGGCGGUCCUUUAAGUCUGAUGUGAAAGCCCACGGCUCAACCGUGGAGGGUCAUUGGAAACUGGGGGACUUGAGUACAGAAGAGAAGAGUGGAAUUCCACGUGUAGCGGUGAAAUGCGUAGAGAUGUGGAGGACACCAGUGGCGAAGGCGACUCUUUGGUCUGUAACUGACGCUGAGGCGCGAAAGCGUGGGGAGCAAACAGG
rnacentral:rRNA from 1 species